UACAGAGGGUGCAAGCGUUGUUCGGAAUUAUUGGGCGUAAAGCGCGUGUAGGCGGCAUGGCAAGUCGGGUGUGAAAGCCCUCAGCUCAACUGAGGAAGUGCGCCCGAAACUGCUUUGCUUGAGUGCUGGAGAGGGUCGCGGAAUUCCCCAAGUAGAGGUGAAAUUCGUAAGAUAUGGGGGAGGAACACCGGUGGCGAAGGCGGCGACCUGGACAGUAACUGACGCUGAGACGCGAAAGCGUGGGUAGCAAACAGG
rnacentral:rRNA from 1 species